UGAGUACGAGCUGCUACGGCAGCGAAGUGGGUGAUGUCAUGCUUCCAAGAAAAGCCCUAUACCCGUUAAGGCAUGAUGGCCUGUACCCGAAACCGACACAGGUGGGGUGGUAGAGAAUACCGAGGGGCGCGAGGUAACUCUCUCUAAGGAACUCGGCAAAAUGGCCCCGUAACUUCGGGAGAAGGGGUGCCACCGCAAGGUGGUCGCAGUGAAGAGGCCCAGGCGACUGUUUACCAAAAACACAGGUCUCCGCUAAGUCGCAAGACGAUGUAUGGGGGCUGACGCCUGCCCAGUGCCGGAAGGUUAAGGAAGCUGGUCAGCGUAAGCGAAGCUAGCGACUGAAGCCCCGGUGAACGGCGGCCGUAACAAUAACGGUCCUAAGGUAGCGAAAUUCCUUGUCGGGUAAGUUCCGACCCGCACGAAAGGCGUAACGAUCUGGGCGCUGUCUCGGAGAGAGGCUCGGCGAAAUAGAAUUGUCUGUGAAGAUGCGGACUACGUGCACCCGGACAGAAAGACCCUAUGAAGCUUUACUGUAGCUUGGUAUUGUGCUCGGGCUCGGAAUGCGCAGGAUAGGUGGGAGGCUAUGAACCAUUGCUUGCGGGUGAUGGUGAGCCACUGGUGAGAUACCACUCUUUCCGAGCUAGAGUUCUAACAGCCACCCGUUAUCCGGGGGCUGGACAGUAUCAGGUGGGCAGUUUGACUGGGGCGGUCGCCUCCUAAAAGGUAACGGAGGCGCGCAAAGGUUUGCUCAGGCUGGUUGGAAAUCAGCCGACGAGUGUAAAAGCAGAAGCAAGCUUGACUGUGAGACCUACAAGUCGAACAGGGAGGAAACUCGGCUUUAGUGAUCCGACGGUUCUGCGUGGAAGGGCCGUCGCUCAACGGAUAAAAGUUACUCUAAGGAUAACAGGCUGAUCUCCCCCAAGAGUUCACAUCGACGGGGAGGUUUGGCACCUCGAUGUCGGCUCAUCGCAACCUGGGGCUGAAGUCGGUCCCAAGGGUUGGGCUGUUCGCCCAUUAAAGCGGUACGCGAGCUGGGUUCAGAACGUCGUGAGACAGUUCGGUCCAUAUCCGGUGCAUGCGCAGGAAUAUUGAGAGGAUUUCUCCCUAGUACGAGAGGACCGGGAGGAACGCACCUCUGGUGUACCAGUUAUCGUGCCAACGGUAAACGCUGGGUAGCCAUGUGCGGAGAGGAUAACCGCUGAAAGCAUCUAAGUGGGAAGCCCACCUCAAGAUGAGUAUUCCCAUGGGGUAACCCAGUAAGGUCACGGGAAGAACACCCGUUGAUAGGCUCUACGUGGAAGCGCAGUAAUGUGUGAAGCGGAGGAGUACUAAUAGACCGAGGGCUUG
rnacentral:rRNA from 1 species